GACGAACUGUGCAAACGUUAUUCGGAAUCACUGGGCUUAAAGGGUGUGUAGGCGGUUUGUUUAGUAGGGUGUGAAAGCCUCUGGCUCAACCAGAGAACUGCGCCCUAAACUGGCAGGCUGGAGUGAGGUAGGGGUGUGUGGAACUUCCAGUGGAGCAGUGAAAUGUGUUGAUAUUGGAAGGAACGCCGGUGGCGAAAGCGACACACUGGACCUUGUCUGACGCUGAGACACGAAAGCCAGGGGAGCAAACGGG
rnacentral:rRNA from 1 species